rnacentral:rRNA from 1 species
GACGAAGGAUGCAAGCGUUAUCCGGAUUCAUUGGGUUUAAAGGGAGCGUAGGUGGCCUUAUAAGUCAGUGGUGAAAUCUCUGGGCUUAACCCAGAAAUUGCCAUUGAUACUGUAGGGCUUGAGUAUAGUUGCCGUUGGCGGAAUAUGACAUGUAGUGGUGAAAUACAUAGAGAUGUCAUAGAACACCGAUUGCGAAGGCAGCUAACGAAACUAUAACUGACACUGAAGGCUCGAAAGUGCGGGGAGUC